rnacentral:rRNA from 1 species
UGGGGGAUAUUGCACAAUGGGAGAAAGCCUGAUGCAGUGACGCCGCGUGGGGGAUGAAGGCCUUCGGGUUGUAAACUUCUUUUGCUCUGAACAAGGCGCACCAUGGGGUGUGUUGAGUGUAGGGGUUGAUUAGCGCCGGCUAACUACGUGCCAGCAGCCGCGGUAAUACGUAGGGCGCGAGCGUUGUCCGGAAUUAUUGGGCGUAAAGGGCUUGUAGGUGGCUGGUUGCGUCUGUCGUGAAAGCUCAUGGCUUAACUGUGGGUUUGCGGUGGGUACGGGCUGGCUUGAGUGCAGUAGGGGAGGCUGGAAUUCCUGGUGUAGCGGUGGAAUGCGCAGAUAUCAGGAGGAAUACCGGUGGCGAAGGCGGGUCUCUGGGCUGUUACUGACACUGAGGAGCGAAAGCAUGGGGAGCGAACAGG